rnacentral:rRNA from 1 species
CAGCCGCCGCGGUAAUACCGGCGGCCCGAGUGGCGGCCACUAUUAUUGGGCUUAAAGCGUCCGUAGCCGGGUUGGUUAGUCUCCCGGGAAAUCUGGCCGCUUAACGGUCAGAAUUCCGGGAGAUACUGCCAGCCUAGGGACCGGGAGAGGCCGAGGGGAUUCCCGGAGUAGGGGUGAAAUCCUAUAAUCCCGGGAGGACCACCUGUGGCGAAGGCGCUCGGCUGGAACGCGUCCGACGGUGAGGGACGAAGGCCAGGGGAGCAAACCGGAUUAGAUACCCGGGUAGUCCUGGCUGUAAACGAUGCGGACUUUGUGUCGGACAAGCUAUGAGCUUGUCCGGUGCCGGAGGGAAACCGUUAAGUCCGCCGCCUGGGGAGUACGGCCGCAAGGCUGAAACUUAAAGGAAUUGGCGGG